UACGGAGGGGGCAAGCGUUGUUCGGAAUUACUGGGCGUAAAGGGCGCGUAGGCGGCACAGCAAGUCGGGAGUGAAAGCCCGGGGCUCAACCCCGGAAUGGCUUUCGAAACUGCUGAGCUAGAGUACAGAAGGGGCAACCGGAAUUCCCAGUGUAGCGGUGAAAUGCGUAGAUAUUGGGAAGAACACCUGAGGCGAAGGCGGGUUGCUGGGCUGAUACUGACGCUGAGGCGCGAAAGCCAGGGGAGCAAACGGG
rnacentral:rRNA from 1 species